GACGAACGCUGGCGGCGUGCUUAACACAUGCAAGUCGAACGGAAAGGCCCUGCUUUUGUGGGGUGCUCGAGUGGCGAACGGGUGAGUAACACGUGAGUAACCUGCCUUGACUUUGGGAUAACUUCAGGAAACUGGGGCUAAUACCGGAUAGGAGCUCCUGCUGCAUGGUGGGGGUUGGAAAGUUUCGGCGGUUGGGGAUGGACUCGCGGCUUAUCAGCUUGUUGGUGGGGUAGUGGCUUACCAAGGCUUUGACGGGUAGCCGGCCUGAGAGGGUGACCGGCCACAUUGGGACUGAGAUACGGCCCAGACUCCUACGGGAGGCAGCAGUGGGGAAUAUUGCACAAUGGGCGGAAGCCUGAUGCAGCAACGCCGCGUGCGGGAUGACGGCCUUCGGGUUGUAAACCGCUUUCGCCUGUGACGAAGCGUGAGUGACGGUAAUGGGUAAAGAAGCACCGGCUAACUACGUG
rnacentral:rRNA from 1 species